rnacentral:RNase_P_RNA from 1 species
GAAGCUGGCUAGACAGUCGCUGCCUAUUUUCAGCAAUGAAAAGUAGGGAGAGGAAAGUCCGGGCUCCAUAGAGCAGGAUGCCGGUUAAUGGCCGGCCGCUAUAAGUCGCAAGACCCAAGGUGAGGAAUAGGGCCACAGAGACGAGCGUAUUAAGUUACGGUGAAACGCGGUAACCUCCAUCCGGAGCAAGACCAAAUAGGCAGGCUAUGAAGCUGCUCGCUGAGCCUGCGGGUAGGUUGCUUGAGCGUACGGGCAACCGUGCGCCUAGAGGAAUGACUGUCCACGACAGAACCCGGCUUACCGGCCAGCUUCGUUA